rnacentral:rRNA from 1 species
GAUGAACGCUGGCGGCGUGCCUAAUACAUGCAAGUCGAGCGAACGGACGAGAAGCUUGCUUUUCUGAUGUUAGCGGCGGACGGGUGAGUAACACGUGGAUAACCUACCUAUAAGACUGGGAUAACUUCGGGAAACCGGAGCUAAUACCGGAUAAUAUUUUGAACCGCAUGGUUCAAAAGUGAAAGACGGUCUUGCUGUCACUUAUAGAUGGAUCCGCGCUGCAUUAGCUAGUUGGUAAGGUAACGGCUUACCAAGGCAACGAUGCAUAGCCGAACUGAGAGGGUGAUCGGCCACACUGGAACGGAGACACGGUCCAGACUCCUACGGGAGGCAGCAGUAGGGAAUCUUCCGCAAUGGGCGAGAGCCUGACGGAGCAACGCCGCGUGAGUGAUGAAGGUCUUCGGAUCGUAAAACUCUGUUAUUAGGGAAGAACAUAUGUGUAAGUAACUGUGCACAUCUUGACGGUACCUAAUCAGAAAGCCACGGCUAACUACGUG